GGAGAUGUGGAUCAGAUGGUAGAGUGCUCGCUUAGCAUGCGAGAGGUAUGCGGAUCGAUACCCUGUAUUUCCA
rfam:Medicago truncatula strain A17 chromosome 6, whole genome shotgun sequence.